GAUUGCCCCAGUAACGGCGAGUGAAGCGGCAACAGCUCAAAUUUGAAAUCUGGCCCUCGCGGUCCGAGUUGUAAUUUGUAGAGGAUGCUUUUGGUGCGGUGCCUUCCGAGUUCCCUGGAACGGGACGCCAUAGAGGGUGAGAGCCCCGUCUGGUUGGAUGCCAAACCUCUGUAAAGCUCCUUCGACGAGUCGAGUAGUUUGGGAAUGCUGCUCAAAAUGGGAGGUAUAUGUCUUCUAAAGCUAAAUACCGGCCAGAGACCGAUAGCGCACAAGUAGAGUGAUCGAAAGAUGAAAAGCACUUUGAAAAGAGGGUUAAAUAGUACGUGAAAUUGUUGAAAGGGAAGCGUUUGUGACCAGACUUGGGCUCGGUGAAUCAUCCGGCGUUCUCGCCGGUGCACUUCGCCGGUCCAGGCCAGCAUCGGUUCGCUCGCGGGGGAUAAAGGCGUCGGGAAUGUGGCUCCUCGGAGUGUUAUAGCCCUUCGCACAAUACCCUGCGGUGGACCGAGGUUCGCGCAUCUGCAAGGAUGCUGGCGUAAUGGUCAUCAACGACCCGUCUUGAAACACGGACCAAGGAGUCGUCUUCGUAUGCGAGUGUUCGGGUGUCAAACCCCUACGCGUAAUGAAAGUGAACGGAGGUGAGAGCUACGGCGCAUCAUCGACCGAUCCUGAUGUUCUCGGAUGGAUUUGAGUAAGAGCAUACGGGGCCGGACCCGAAAGAAGGUGAACUAUGCCUGUAUAGGGUGAAGCCAGAGGAAACUCUGGUGGAGGCUCGCAGCGGUUCUGACGUGCAAAUCGAUCGUCAAAUAUGGGGCAUGGGGGCGAAAGACUAAUCGAACCUUCUAGUAGCUGGUUUCCGCCGAAGUUUUCCCCUCAGGGAA
rnacentral:rRNA from 1 species